UACGUAGGGUGCGAGCGUUGUCCGGAAUUACUGGGCGUAAAGAGCUCGUAGGUGGUUUGUCGCGUUGUUCGUGAAAACCGGGGGCUUAACCCUCGGCGUGCGGGCGAUACGGGCAGACUUGAGUACUGCAGAGGAGACUGGAAUUCCUGGUGUAGCGGUGGAAUGCGCAGAUAUCAGGAGGAACACCGGUGGCGAAGGCGGGUCUCUGGGCAGUAACUGACGCUGAGGAGCGAAAGCGUGGGGAGCGAACAGG
rnacentral:rRNA from 1 species